rnacentral:lncRNA from 1 species
UUCUCUCUGUUUUCUCCUGAAUCCUCUUCAUUAUCUUCAUUCCCUCUCAAAAUGUGUUGGUCAAUAUUAUUUGGUUAUGUCAUUCUUUUUUCUUCAUCCAUGCCGAACAUUUGAACAUCUCAUAUGUUAUGAUCUGUAGCACGAACAUUGGUAUUUUCUAAGAGAAUUUCCUCGAUGACAAUUUCAAUAACGAUGGGAGUUUUAGCUUGUAAAAGAUAUCAUGGUCAGUCAUGUAUUAUAAUAGAAAAUGUAUGGAAGAGCAAUUAUUUCCUCGUGCAGCCGUUGAACAAGGCCGCCCACGAGCACCUUUGUCAACUUUCGCGGAACAUAGGUAUGGAGGUUAUCCCUAAAGAGAAUUCCUAAGACGAUUCUUUUAGUGAGUUGGCGGAAAAAGAUGAUAGGAUCUACCCAUCCCACAGGAUGGGUAGAUGUCACAGAUGAUGAAUUGAUUUCGUACCUAUGUAACUAGAUUUUUAUUUUUGUUUUAAUAAUUGAUUCAUGAAUCAAUUAUUUUCAAUUGUAUCUUUCAAGUGGUAUUUUUUGGUUAUUUUCCUAUUUUUAUCUCAAAACUAAAUGGAAACUUAGGAAAGUGCUUUAUAAACAUAUGUAUAAAAAGAACAUAUUUCAUCUAGUUUCCUUAUGCCCACUAUAACCAGUUAUUUCGGUUUUCUACUAGCAGUUUUAACAAUAACCGCGGGUCUUUUUAUUAGUCUGAAUAAGAUACGACUUAUUUGA